UCCGGUUUGUCACCGGCAGUCUCCCUAGAGUUCCCGGCCGAACCGCUGGCAACUAGGGAUAGGGGUUGCGCUCGUUGCGGGACUUAACCCAACAUCUCACGACACGAGCUGACGACAACCAUGCACCACCUGUGCAGGGCCCCGAAGGACACCGUAUCUCUACGGCUUUUCCCUGCAUGUCAAGCCCUGGUAAGGUUCUUCGCGUUGCAUCGAAUUAAGCCACAUGCUCCACCGCUUGUGCGGGCCCCCGCCAAUUCCUUUGAGUUUCAGCCUUGCGGCCGUACUCCCCAGGCGGGGCACUUAAUGCGUUAGCUACGGCACGGAACCCGUUGAUAAGGUCCCACACCUAGUGCCCAACGUUUACGGCGUGGACUAC
rnacentral:misc_RNA from 1 species